UUCCAGAGUAAGGUUUCUUAAAGUUAUCUCCUUCAGUUUUGUAUUUCACAGAGUAUUAGGAAUAAGCUACCUGAACCCACCUAGUCACAGCUAUUUAAAAAUAGCCUUAACUUCAUGCAGUGGUUUCUCUUUACAAAAGAAAGCAUCUCACAUUUGAGUGGGCAAAGCAACAGAGGCAAACUCUCACCAUUGCCCACAUCAGUUCCAUUACUUCAGCUGAUGACUUCUUCCCCAGGGUUAGAAUUGGCAUUUCAGUGCUAGGAGAAUGACUUUUUCCAACAGUCAGGAAAAGAAAGGACAAUCCAAGAAUUUUCUAACCCACCUGGUUGUGGAGAAAUGCUUGAAGACAUGACCUUUGUGUACCAUAAAAGCAUGGACACUAGAAAGAAAAUAAAAAG